rnacentral:lncRNA from 1 species
UUUUUUCCUGUCACCAUCGUGAAGAGCACGUUUGGAAGGGACCCUCAGUGGGACACUUAACGAACACUCUAAAUCUGUCCAGGAAAGAGAGAGCCUCCAUCUUGUUUCCUUUCUGCUUUCCUUCUGUGUCAUAAAACCAUAGAAUCUCCGGACGAGGGGGGACCCCGGAGGCCAUCUAACCCGACUUCCUCUUAAACAGGAACAUCUUCUAUCGCGUUUCCAACACGCGGAGAUCCAGCUUCUUCUUGAAGCCCUCCGGUAAUGGAGAGCUCACUACCUCCAAUUAUGGCCCUUUCCACCUCUGGAGAGCUCUGAUUGCUUAGAACAUUUGCCCCUGGCUUUCUGUGACUUUCUCUAAGGAUUUAGAGCGGGAAGGUACUUUGCAAUCCUUUCACAUUAUGAAUGAGGAAACAGACUCGGAGAAGGACAGCCCGUCACUUGCCCAAAGUCAGACAGCCAUUGAGUAGUGUGACCAGCACUUGAAUCCAGCCCCUUGGACUCUAAAUAUCCGCUCUUUUCACACCUCACUACUGCUCAACUAUUGGUUUCUUAGCAGUGCCCACUGGGGCCAACCAAAAUAAGUCUGGAGUCUCUUCUAUAUGGCAGCCCUUUAAAUACUCAACAGGAAGCUAUCAUCAUAUGCCAAACACUGCCAUGCUGAGGAGCCUCAGUAUCAUGAUGAAGUUCCUUUUCACUUUUUCCAAACCUUGUUUUAGCAAGGUCAUCCUGGUGCUUAACCCCUAUUCCAGGGACACUUUGCUCUUUGGUUCAGGGGCCCAUUGGAUAACCCUGUGUGUGCAUGUCUGUCCCUGAAGAGCACUCUUUGAUCAAGACCUCGGUCCUGACUGCCAUCCUGGAAUGAACUCAAGAUAUUCAGCCUUGCUCCCAACAAGCUCAGCUUCAUCUAAAUGGAUUCAAACCCAUCUUGGCACCUAGUGGCAGCUGCUACCAAGCCUUUUCCCAGGACUGAGCCAGAGUUUUUGGAGCAAAUUUUGAGCAGGAGAUGCUAGACUCAAAAGAUAUCUUCUCUCCAAGCACCACGCCUCAUAUAGGCAGCCCCAUUCGCAGCUCUGGUAGUUCUGGGGCAGGGGAAUGAGUGGAGAAGAGGAGCCUUCCUGGUCAGCCCAUUGAGUGUCCUAGAAAAACCCAUCAAAGUUCAGUUCCCCACCAACGACCUUCCUGGUCUUGAUAGGAAGACAACUAUUCUUGAUUUCACUUGGGCACCAGAUGGGUGGUUAGUAAAGAUAAUAAGAAACCUCACCUGAAGGCAGCCCCAGGAUGUGACUGUUGGGGGAGGUGAGGGCAGUAUUUGUUGGUACCUAAAACCAAGGCUCACAUAGGUCAUAAAUGGCAUUGCACAGCAGAGCAGCUCCCCAGUGACUGAGAAUAAUUCUCACAAUUAUCUGAUAGAGCCAUCUCUUUAUUAGCAGUCCAAUAAGUUUGUGUCUUGUGUUUUUCUCACUGCUGUGAUUUGGG